rnacentral:lncRNA from 1 species
CAGGGGAGGUGAAGAAAAACCGGUGAAGGAGUUGGCCAUGAUGUAGUCGGCGAUCUGCUGUAACGCUAGCAAUCCGGUCGGGUCGUGGCCUUUCUUCAUCUGUUCUUGGAUGAGGCACUCUAGGUCUUCCCGAAAGGCAGGACUCUGCAGGAUCUGAGUGACUCGCUUCCUCUGCUCCAUCAUAUUGAAGUCCUGCCGUAGAUCAGGAGACAUGUUCCUCUCUCGAAGCGCAGCCAGCUUUGUGCCCCCCUCCUCGCCACCGCCGGGCUGCAGCGGCCGC